AAUCAUUUCUUCUGACUCACUGACCAACUAUCACAUUUGUUUAAUAUAUAUAGGCUCUGAUCUUUUGAUUGGGUCAAUUUCAUAUUUUCCAGGUUUAGUCAGAUUUCAAAUUUGAAUCAAUUCCUUAAAUUAACUUUAUAAUCAAUUGUCACAUCUCUUUUCAUUCAGAAAGAAGGAGGGCAGAAGUUAGAACUCCAACAAACUCACAGUCUCUGUACUGACCAACAUGGGUCUCCGUGCCAAGAAGUAAACAACAUUAUGUUCAGUCCUUGGGAGCAGCUACAUCCAAAUAUUAUAUGGAGAAAAGUUCAAGUUCUUGUAUAAUAUGAAACUUUGAACUCUGAAAAAUGUGAUUUAGAAUCCCAACAAAUCUGACUUUUGGAAUGAACAUUCCAUCUUCCAGUCAUAAUGGAGAUAUUACAAGAAGAACCUGGAAGAGGAGGAUGAGAUUACUCUAUUUGACGAAUACAUCAACUAAGAAAUGGGAGAGGAUGCCAGAAAUAGUUGGCUAAAAAGUAAUAUGGCAUGUAUUUAGAUUGUACAAGCAAGCCUUUACAGAAAAUCUAAAUUUCAAAAAAUUAUAUUCAAAAUUAUGAUUGAAGUAUAAUAAAUCCCAAAAUAUCACCUUAAAACAGUCAUAUAAAUUAGGAUGGCGCCCACGGGUCUAGGACUAAGGCAGAACCCAUAGCCAAUAUUUGUCGGUGAAGAGACAAACUGCUGAAUAGAGUUAGUACACAAAUUUAGGAUUACGAAGUUCUACCUUCUACCAGAACAACUAGGUCAAACUGUUCCCACUAACAGAUUUUCCAUUCCUCUUUUGCAGUAUCAUGGGCUAACCAAUUCAUAAUCGAUUUUUUAAAACUUUAAAAGGCCCACUAUAUGUUAAUCAUUGGGUUAGGGAACUUAGGGCACUUUUGUGCCCUACCUGAUGAACAAAAUAUCAAAAUUCUAAGUAAAGACAAACUUAGUAUUGCUUUAGGCUCCAAUAUGGCUUGGCAAGGUACUAUUACUGAUUCUAUCUUUAUUUAAAAUGUCAACAUUUUGUUUAUCAUACAUCUUUGCAUUGAUUUUUUAAAUAUUGCAUUAAAAUGUUAUUUAACCUUGAUUACUGAGUUUUUCCGUUUCCCUUUAAAUUUUACACCCUAGGUUUGACAGUUAAGUUUAUGUGUCAACUCAACUGGGCCGUGGGGUGCCCAGAUACCUGGUUAAAUGUUAUUUCUGGGUGUAUGGGAGAGGGUGUUUCUGGAAGAGAUGAGCAUUUAAAUUGGUAGACUGAGUAAAGCAAAUUGUCCUUCCUAAUGUGGAUGGGCCUCAUCCAAUCCAUUGAAGGCCUGAAUAAAACAAACAGCCAGGUAAGGGAGAAUUCUCUCUCUCUCUCUCUGUCUGAGUGCCUUCAAGCCAGGGCACUGGUCUCCUGCCUUCAGACUCGAGCUUGGACUGAAACCUACACCAUGGGCACUCCUGCUUCUCAAGCCUUCAGACUUGGACUGGAACUAUCUACCAUUGGCUCUCCUGGGUCCCCAGCUUGCUGACUGCAGAUCUUGGGAAUCGUCAACCUCCAUAAUUGCAUGAGUCAAGUCCUAUAAAUAUAUCUAAUCCUGGGUUCCCAUCCCUACUGCUUUUCUCUGGAGACUUGACAUGAUUAAGACCCGAUGUGCUCAGCUUCAUGUGAUCACUUCUCCAAUGGAAUAAAGUGCAGAGCCCAUGAAUCAAGUCUCAGCCGGAUUUCCUAACCCGUUUGGUGUUCCUGCUUCUGUGGAAUGAAAGAGGAGCCACAAUGGUUUGGUGAAUUGGUCAAGUCUGGAAAAAUUAGUGCACGUCACACCAAGAAGAUUCGUGAAGGCAAGAGGCUUAUUGGAGUAGUCCUGCAGCAGCACAUCAAGGAAAAAGUAUAGCAUAGUAUUCCUGGGAAGAAAAGGGUGUGUGGCAUCUCCACCCUGGCUUCACGACAGAAGGUAUGGAAGAAAAUCUCAGUGGUUUCCAUCAGACUACAACAAGGACUACAGAGCAGAGGAGGGACAAAAAGGAGUACCCAGACAGACAGGACAAACAAGAUGGCAUCCUACCAAAGAGGGGACUGAAGGUAGGGACCACAGCAGUGCUGCCCCCCAUCUCCCCCGCUAAGAAAGCCCUCAUUGACAGAGGAGAUCAGGUUGACCUGAACAAGAAAUCAUCACAAGAAGACCAUUAUAUCAGCAAGUCCACCAGAAGCAGAGAGAACCAGAGUAACCGGAGUAAGACCCAGGGCACUUUCCCACAACUGGCAGGUGGCCAAGUGUCUAAGAGUUUGUUAUCUCCUCUAAGCACCCCCUACCUGCCUCAAUCCUGGACAACCUAUGUGUACAGAGAGAAGGGGAGGAGAGAUAUCUUAGAUGCAGUCUCUCUGUCUCUCAACCCCUCUCUUUCUCCAUACCCGCUCCAAUCCACUCUUUGAGUCCCGCAAGCAAUAGGUUAAGGGAAGAAUUUUAAAUUGGAUAUGAGUUUGGAGUUUUAAACUGUAUUGGAUGGAACUUUGCUCAUCAAAAAUGACUGGAAUGUCAGUGGUUGCUAGGAGUUACAGAGGAGGGAGGGAUGAACAGGUAGAGUACACAGGAUGUUUGGGGCUGUGAAAAUACUCUAUAUGAUACUAUAUUGGUAGAUAAAUGUCAUUUUAUAUUCGUCCAAACCCAUAGAAUGUACACCAAGAGUAAACAUUAAUGUAAACUAUGGACUUUGGUUGAUGAUGUGUCAAUGUAGGUUCAUUGAUUGUAACAAAUGUACCACUUUGGUGGGAAACGUUGAUAAGGAGGAAGCUAUACAAGUGUCAGGGCAGGAGGCAUAUGGAAAAUUACUGUAUCUACCUCUCAGUUUUAAUGUGAACCUAAAACUACUCUACAAAAAUAAAGUCUUGGCUGGGCGCGGUGGCUUACACCUGUAAUCCCAGCACUUUGGGAGGCCGGGGCAGAUGGAUUACUUGAGGUCAGGAGUUUGAGACCAGCCUAGCCAACAUGGUGAAACCCCAUCUCUACUAAAGACACAAAAAUUAGCCGGGCAUGGUAGUGGGCGCCUAUAAUCCCAGCUACUCAGGAGGCUGAGGCACGAGAAUCGCUUGAACCUGGAGGCAGGUGUUGGUGUUGCAGUGAGCUGAGAUUGUGCCACUGCACUCCAGCCUGGGUGAUAGAGCAAGACUCAGUCUCAAAAACAAAAAUAAAAAAUAAAAAAAUAAAGUAUUUUAAAAUGUGUCUGGCACGUGGUCAGUGUUCAAUUAAUAUUUAUAUAAUAAAUCAAUGAAUUGAUGUCUUUUAAGGAAAAUUUAACCCAAAACAAUACUUUUGUUUAGUGUCAAUAAAGUAUUAUCGACAUUUAAAAAAGGAAUUAACUGUUGAUAUAUAAAACUAUAAGGACUGACCUCAAAAUCAUUAUAGCAAAUCAAAGUCUCUCUCAGAUUUUAAAAAAUAGUUCAUGCUGUAUGAUUCCAUUCCUAUAAAAUUCUAGAAAAUGCAAACUGCUGUAUUGUAAUAGAAAGCAUAUCAGUGUCUGGGGGAAGGGGUGAAGGGAGAAAUGGAUUAUAAAAGGGCACCAGGAAACUCGGAGAAAUGGAAAUGUUCAUUAUUUUGGUAGUAGUGAUGGUUUCACAGGUGUAGACCUAUUCAAAACCUAUCAAAUUGUAUCCUUUAAAUAUGUGCAGUUUAUUGUAAGUCAUUUAUAUCUCAAUUAAAAGUUAAAACAUUUAAUGAUCAGAAUGUUUGGGUACCUACUUAAGAUGCCGGGAAAAGGAGAGUCUACAGAGUUUAGUAGAAAGAAGUGAUGGAGAAAAAAUUAAGUUCUUAAUAUAUCCCAACUAA